ACUUAAGCAUAUCAAUAAGCGGAGGAAAAGAAACUAACAAGGAUUCCCCUAGUAACUGCGAGUGAAGCGGGAAGAGCUCAAAUUUGAAAUCUGGCGGUUCUGCCGUCCGAGUUGUAAUCUGGAGAAGCGCUUUCCGUGCCGGACCGUGUACAAGUCCCUUGGAACAGGGCGUCAUAGAGGGUGAGAAUCCCGUCUUUGACACGGACUCCCGGUGCUCUGUGAUGCGCUCUCGAAGAGUCGAGUUGUUUGGGAAUGCAGCUCAAAAUGGGUGGUAAAUUCCAUCUAAAGCUAAAUAUUGGCGAGAGACCGAUAGCGAACAAGUACCGUGAGGGAAAGAUGAAAAGCACUUUGGAAAGAGAGUAAAACAGUACGUGAAAUUGUUGAAAGGGAAACGCUUGAAGUCAGUCGCGUCUUCUGGGACUCAGCCUUGCUUCUGCUCGGCGCACUUCCCAGCUCGACGGGUCAGCAUCGGCUCUGGGGGACGGACAAAGGCGCGGGGAAGGUGGCAGCUCCGGCUGUGUUAUAGCCCCGYGUCGUACGCGCCCUCUGGGACCGAGGAAUCCGGCGCUCGCGCCUGGGAUGCUGGCGUAAUGGCUUUAAACGACCCGUCUUGAAACACGGACCAAGGAGUGCUACAUGCUCGCGAGUGUUUGGGUGGAAAACCCGAGCGCGCAAUGAAAGUGAAAGUCGAGACCCUUUGCGGGGGCACCGACGCCCGAGCCUGAUGUUUUCGGACGGCCUUGCGGUAGAGCGAGUAUGUUGCGACCCGAAAGAUGGUGAACUAUUCCUGAGGAGGGCGAAGCCAGAGGAAACUCUGGUGGAGGCUCGUAGCGGUUCUGACGUGCAAAUCGAUCGCAGGACUUGGGUAUAGGGGCGAAAGACUAAUCGAACCAUCUAGUAGCUGGUUCCUGC
rnacentral:rRNA from 1 species